UACAGAGGUCCCAAGCGUUGUUCGGAUUCACUGGGCGUAAAGGGUGCGUAGGCGGUUGGGUAAGUCUGUCGUGAAAUCUCCGAGCCUAACUCGGAAACUGCGUCGGAUACUAUUCAACUCGAGGAAUGGAGGGGAGACUGGAAUUCUCGGUGUAGCAGUGAAAUGCGUAGAGAUCGGGAGGAACACCAGUGGCGAAGGCGGCUACCUGGACCAGCACUGACACUGAGGCACGAAAGCGUGGGGAGCAAACAGG
rnacentral:rRNA from 1 species